GGUUAAGCGACUAAGCGUACACGGUGGAUGCCCUGGCAGUCAGAGGCGAUGAAGGACGUGCUAAUCUGCGAUAAGCGUCGGUGAGGUGAUAUGAACCGUUAUAACCGGCGAUUUCCGAAUGGGGAAACCCAGUGUGAUUCGUCACACUAUCAUUAACUGAAUCCAUAGGUUAAUGAGGCGAACCGGGGGAACUGAAACAUCUAAGUACCCCGAGGAAAAGAAAUCAACCGAGAUUCCCCCAGUAGCGGCGAGCGAACGGGGAGCAGCCCAGAGCCUGAAUCAGUGUGUGUGUUAGUGGAAGCGUCUGGAAAGGCGCGCGAUACAGGGUGACAGCCCCGUACACAAAAAUGCACAUACUGUGAGCUCGAUGAGUAGGGCGGGACACGUGGUAUCCUGUCUGAAUAUGGGGGGACCAUCCUCCAAGGCUAAAUACUCCUGACUGACCGAUAGUGAACCAGUACCGUGAGGGAAAGGCGAAAAGAACCCCGGCGAGGGGAGUGAAAAAGAACCUGAAACCGUGUACGUACAAGCAGUGGGAGCCUCUUAAUGGGGUGACUGCGUACCUUUUGUAUAAUGGGUCAGCGACUUAUAUUCUGUAGCAAGGUUAACCGAAUAGGGGAGCCGAAGGGAAACCGAGUCUUAACUGGGCGUUAAGUUGCAGGGUAUAGACCCGAAACCCGGUGAUCUAGCCAUGGGCAGGUUGAAGGUUGGGUAACACUAACUGGAGGACCGAACCGACUAAUGUUGAAAAAUUAGCGGAUGACUUGUGGCUGGGGGUGAAAGGCCAAUCAAACCGGGAGAUAGCUGGUUCUCCCCGAAAGCUAUUUAGGUAGCGCCUCGUGAAUUCAUCUCCGGGGGUAGAGCACUGUUUCGGCAAGGGGGUCAUCCCGACUUACCAACCCGAUGCAAACUGCGAAUACCGGAGAAUGUUAUCACGGGAGACACACGGCGGGUGCUAACGUCCGUCGUGAAGAGGGAAACAACCCAGACCGCCAGCUAAGGUCCCAAAGUCAUGGUUAAGUGGGAAACGAUGUGGGAAGGCCCAGACAGCCAGGAUGUUGGCUUAGAAGCAGCCAUCAUUUAAAGAAAGCGUAAUAGCUCACUGGUCGAGUCGGCCUGCGCGGAAGAUGUAACGGGGCUAAACCAUGCACCGAAGCUGCGGCAGCGACACUAUGUGUUGUUGGGUAGGGGAGCGUUCUGUAAGCCUGUGAAGGUGUACUGUGAGGUAUGCUGGAGGUAUCAGAAGUGCGAAUGCUGACAUAAGUAACGAUAAAGCGGGUGAAAAGCCCGCUCGCCGGAAGACCAAGGGUUCCUGUCCAACGUUAAUCGGGGCAGGGUGAGUCGACCCCUAAGGCGAGGCCGAAAGGCGUAGUCGAUGGGAAACAGGUUAAUAUUCCUGUACUUGGUGUUACUGCGAAGGGGGGACGGAGAAGGCUAUGUUGGCCGGGCGACGGUUGUCCCGGUUUAAGCGUGUAGGCUGGUUUUCCAGGCAAAUCCGGAAAAUCAAGGCUGAGGCGUGAUGACGAGGCACUACGGUGCUGAAGCAACAAAUGCCCUGCUUCCAGGAAAAGCCUCUAAGCAUCAGGUAACAUCAAAUCGUACCCCAAACCGACACAGGUGGUCAGGUAGAGAAUACCAAGGCGCUUGAGAGAACUCGGGUGAAGGAACUAGGCAAAAUGGUGCCGUAACUUCGGGAGAAGGCACGCUGAUAUGUAGGUGAAGCGACUUGCUCGUGGAGCUGAAAUCAGUCGAAGAUACCAGCUGGCUGCAACUGUUUAUUAAAAACACAGCACUGUGCAAACACGAAAGUGGACGUAUACGGUGUGACGCCUGCCCGGUGCCGGAAGGUUAAUUGAUGGGGUUAGCGGUAACGCGAAGCUCUUGAUCGAAGCCCCGGUAAACGGCGGCCGUAACUAUAACGGUCCUAAGGUAGCGAAAUUCCUUGUCGGGUAAGUUCCGACCUGCACGAAUGGCGUAAUGAUGGCCAGGCUGUCUCCACCCGAGACUCAGUGAAAUUGAACUCGCUGUGAAGAUGCAGUGUACCCGCGGCAAGACGGAAAGACCCCGUGAACCUUUACUAUAGCUUGACACUGAACAUUGAGCCUUGAUGUGUAGGAUAGGUGGGAGGCUUUGAAGUGUGGACGCCAGUCUGCAUGGAGCCGGCCUUGAAAUACCACCCUUUAAUGUUUGAUGUUCUAACGUUGGCCCCUGAUCGGGGUUGCGGACAGUGUCUGGUGGGUAGUUUGACUGGGGCGGUCUCCUCCUAAAGAGUAACGGAGGAGCACGAAGGUUGGCUAAUCCUGGUCGGACAUCAGGAGGUUAGUGCAAUGGCAUAAGCCAGCUUGACUGCGAGCGUGACGGCGCGAGCAGGUGCGAAAGCAGGUCAUAGUGAUCCGGUGGUUCUGAAUGGAAGGGCCAUCGCUCAACGGAUAAAAGGUACUCCGGGGAUAACAGGCUGAUACCGCCCAAGAGUUCAUAUCGACGGCGGUGUUUGGCACCUCGAUGUCGGCUCAUCACAUCCUGGGGCUGAAGUAGGUCCCAAGGGUAUGGCUGUUCGCCAUUUAAAGUGGUACGCGAGCUGGGUUUAGAACGUCGUGAGACAGUUCGGUCCCUAUCUGCCGUGGGCGCUGGAGAACUGAGGGGGGCUGCUCCUAGUACGAGAGGACCGGAGUGGACGCAUCACUGGUGUUCGGGUUGUCAUGCCAAUGGCACUGCCCGGUAGCUAAAUGCGGAAGAGAUAAGUGCUGAAAGCAUCUAAGCACGAAACUUGCCCCGAGAUGAGUUCUCCCUGACUCCUUGAGGGUCCUGAAGGAACGUUGAAGACGACGACGUUGAUAGGCCGGGUGUGUAAGCGCAGCGAUGCGUUGAGCUAACCGGUACUAAUGAACCGUGAGGCUUAACCUU
rnacentral:rRNA from 1 species